CACAUCUGCUGCACAACUGAAGGAAAUGUAAAAUGUUCAGGAUAUCCUGUUGCAAUGAAACUCCAGGUUGAAUGAAAGAGAGCGACGUGGGCUGCAGGAGGGGGGAGCUCAAGAGUAAUGCCUGUCCGUGGACACAUGACACAGAGUGGUGAAGAGGCUGGGAGGCAGUUAGGAACACAUGAGCAGGUAAACAGAAGCAGGACUCUUAUGCAGAACUGCAGGAAUACCUGGAGAAGUCAGAGGAGAAACCGCAGGAAGACAAGGAACGAGCAGCGCCAGCCACUUGUCUUCUAUGGCAGAGCUCAGCUGGUCCAAUCCCCUGAACAGAUCCAAGAGUUCCACUGUGUUCAGCUGCCAGGACGAUGGAGAUCUUCCAAUUUGACGCCUCUCCUUACUAGAACUCGCCUCUGGGCAGGUGUCUAAAAAAGUAAAAGUCAGUGGUGUUAGCAGAGAAAAGGCAGCAAAUUUAAACAGAUUAAGACCCAUGCCUCUGUUCAAAGCUCUGACACUUAAUGCUGCCUGAAUGAGAGGUGACGUGUGAUAUGAAUCGUACAAGAUAUGGUUUUGGAUGUUCAAACGUUUAUGGAAAUAUCUGCAAGCAUUAAGGAUUAUGGGUGUGCAAAGGGAAGCAACAAGCAUGUCAGUAUAGCUAUUUCUGUCCUCAAUGACUGGCUGCCAAAUGCAAUUUUUUUUUCAGCCUUUGAUGAACUCGCUACAUCACCCUAAAGUCUUGUGUGUUUCUAUGGAAACUUAGACUUCCGAGAAGGUUGGAAUUUGCCACUUAGCUCAAGAUUUGCAAAGUAGUAAUCUUGUAUGAUAAGUCUUUAUAUUGUUUUCAGUGCACAUGUGUAACUGUUAAAUAAUAAUAAUAAUGAUGAUAAUAAUCUUGCAGUAAUUCUACAACUACAUCAUUUAAAUCUUUCGCAAUCGUACAUGGAAGGAUUAUGAAGCUUUGGUGCAUUAGGUAAAACCAUGUAAAAGACUCAGGCAGAAGCCGACACAAACCUAUUAACCAUGCAAAUAUUAAACAUGCAGACAUCUUCAUCUGUGCAACAUCUACAUGUUUGUUGGUAGUUCUUUUUAACUUUAAUUUUCUUUAUUUCACCUUCCAUUUUGAACCUUGGAGGACUCUCAGUUUUCCUGCAUUGAGUGUCAUGCUUUUCUCACACUCUCAAGCAACACUUCCA